UGGCUCAGAUUGAACGCUGGCGGCAGGCCUAACACAUGCAAGUCGAGCGGAUGAAGGGAGCUUGCUCCUGGAUUCAGCGGCGGACGGGUGAGUAAUGCCUAGGAAUCUGCCUGGUAGUGGGGGAUAACGUCCGGAAACGGGCGCUAAUACCGCAUACGUCCUGAGGGAGAAAGUGGGGGAUCUUCGGACCUCACGCUAUCAGAUGAGCCUAGGUCGGAUUAGCUAGUUGGUGGGGUAAAGGCCUACCAAGGCGACGAUCCGUAACUGGUCUGAGAGGAUGAUCAGUCACACUGGAACUGAGACACGGUCCAGACUCCUACGGGAGGCAGCAGUGGGGAAUAUUGGACAAUGGGCGAAAGCCUGAUCCAGCCAUGCCGCGUGUGUGAAGAAGGUCUUCGGAUUGUAAAGCACUUUAAGUUGGGAGGAAGGGCAGUAAGUUAAUACCUUGCU
rnacentral:rRNA from 1 species